AGUUAUUUUCUUAAGUAAGAUUAAGUAGUAUUUUUAAUUAUUAUCUUGAUUGCUAUAUUAUUUUACCUACAAAAAAGAGGAAGGAAUAGAAUUAAUUUUUUGGACUAAUUUAGCCUUUCUUGUAGCACAUUAAUUCAAAAGCCCAAACCUAGACCCCCAAUUUCAGCAUAAUAUACAAGCAAAAUAAAAUGAAAAUCGAGAUCUAGAAGAGGAAUCAGCCGUUGUUUGACAAUCAACAGACCUUCUUCUUCAACCUGGGACAAUACAAGACAAACCCUACAGAGCACCACUACAAGAAUACACAACGGACCACCAACUUCACUAGCCCUUCAGCCGCAACACCCGUUACGAGAUCCUAACCGGAAGUCCCCUUUACGAAGAAAAUUUAUACUCUGCCGCCCCAAAAGUCAAAAAUAGAAAUACUCUCAAAGGUUGGCUAUCUUCCCAAAAUAAAUCUAGUAAAUGGAACCCUAUUUCCAAUUCCAUUUCCUAUUGUAUUCCCUAAAUCACUAACAUAGAAUGAAUAAAACACAGAGGUAUAAGUUGAGAAAGUUUAUUAAGCCUUUCAAGUUUCAAGACACCAUGGAAAGUAACAUCUAGGAUUUCAAAAUCUUAAGACAAUAACGAGAGAGAAGAUAUGGGUUCUUUUCGGCACCGUUUAGUGGAUCUCCGUCAAACAGUAACUUGAUGGACCAGCUUAAUACUCAACUUGCCCAGGCUUACGCUGAGUCUUUUCUCUGAUUGUUGAGGUUCCGCUCGCGGCUUCUAAUCCGGUCAAGGUCAUGUUUAUCCAAUGAAUUUUGGUGAUUCUUCAUGUUGAGGUGUAUUUCUCCUAUUUAUGCUUUGAUUCUCUAUCUCUUAUAUGUUUUUGAUACCUUCCUUGAAGUUUAAUUUGAUUGUUAGUAAUAAUUCAUUUUAUGUGUUUGAUUGAGCUGUUCUUAGUUUAAUUUAAUUGGUGUGCUUGAUUGAGUUGUUCUUCGUUUGAAGUUGGAACACUUUUCGGAAUUCUUAAGAUCUGAAUUAGUUCUAGAGUUGCACUCUUAAAGAUGAUUGGUUUAUUUACUUAUUUUAGCAUGAGCAGAAUGAAUUAAUUAUGCUUCGAACUGUAAUGUGGUUAUAGUAAUAUACGGGCUGAAAUUUGUUAAGAAAGAUUAUGGCCAUGAGUUUUAGUUAAGCAAAUUAAUAAAAGAACCUCUGCUGGCGUAAAGUUAAUGGUAUUUGUUAUGAAAUCUCCUAUUUAAGGUGAAUGUCUAUAAUUAGAGAGAUUCUAGAG
rnacentral:lncRNA from 1 species